GACGAACGCUGGCGGCGUGCCUAAUACAUGCAAGUAGAACGCUGAAGGAGGAGCUUGCUUCUCUGGAUGAGUUGCGAACGGGUGAGUAACGCGUAGGUAACCUGCCUGGUAGCGGGGGAUAACUAUUGGAAACGAUAGCUAAUACCGCAUAAGAGUAGAUGUUGCAUGACAUUUGCUUAAAAGGUGCAAUUGCAUCACUACCAGAUGGACCUGCGUUGUAUUAGCUAGUUGGUGGGGUAACGGCUCACCAAGGCGACGAUACAUAGCCGACCUGAGGGGGUGAUCGGCCACACUGGGACUGAGACACGGCCCAGACUCCUACGGGAGGCAGCAGUAGGGAAUCUUCGGCAAUGGACGAAAGUCUGACCGAGCAACGCCGCGUGAGUGAAGAAGGUUUUCGGAUCGUAAAGCUCUGUUGUAAGAGAAGAACGAGUGUGAGAGGGAAAGUUCAC
rnacentral:rRNA from 1 species